CUGUGCCACAGCUGCCUGGCUCCCUGCACUCCGCUCUGUCUAACUCAGUGCACCCUGACCCAACACGGGCCUCGGUGCUCGGGGUUUCUCUCUCAGGACCUAAGGGCAAGGAGCAGAGCCCAGGACUCAAGAGCCAAAGCCAGGGGCUGAGAGUUCCCAGGAGCGAGGCUGGUGCGGCCUGGAUGAGGCACAGAGAUGGGGAAGAAACUGGACCUCUCCAAGCUCACAGAUGAGGAGGCCAAGCAUGUAUGGGCCGUGCUUCAGCGGGACUUUGACCUCCGGAGAAGAGAAGAAGAAAGACUUGAGGGACUGAAGGGCAAGAUACAGAAGGAGAGCUCGAAGAGAGAACUGCUGUCGGACACAGCCCACCUGAAUGAGACCCACUGUGCCCGCUGCCUGCGGCCCUACCGGCUCCUGGUGAACAGCAGGCGGCAGUGCCGAGAGUGUGGCCUCUUUGUCUGCAAAAGCUGCAGCCAUGUCCACCCAGAAGAGCAGGGCUGGCUCUGUGACCCCUGCCACUUGGCCAGAGUCGUGAAGAUUGGCUCGCUGGAGUGGUACUACCAGCAUGUGAGAGCUCGGUUCAAGCGCUUCGGGAGUGCCAAAGUGAUCCGGUCUCUCUGUGGACGGCUGCAGGGCGGAGGUGGAUCUGAGCCAAGCUUGGGAGAAGGCAGUGGAGACAGUGAACAGACAGAUGAGGAUGGAGACCUGGAUGUGGAGGCCCAGGCACAGCCCCUCAACAGCAAAAAAAAGCGUCUGCUCUCCUUCAGUGAUGUGGACUUUGAGGAAGACCCAGAACACUCGAUGGAGCCCUGCGGCCAUACCCUGGGCCUGUCCUCAGUCCCUGAGUCUGCACACAGCCUGCAGUCCCUCUCAGGUGAACCCUGCUCUGAGGAUACCACCUCUCUGGAGCCUGAGGGCCUGGAGGAUACUGAUGCAGGGCCCUUGGGGUGUCACUCCGGUCCAGAAGAGCAGCCACACAUCCCCUUGCCCUCCAGAGAGGAUGUCCACACUGGCCUGGACCUGCCCGGAGCAUCCUGCAAGAGGGCCCUAGGGACCACAACUAUGCCUGGGAUAGAUAAUGUCAAAGGCAAACAGCUCCCCUCACAGUACCUGGCUGACGUGGACACCUCUGAUGAAGACAGUCUCCGAGAUCCCAGGGCAGCCUCCCAGCAUUCCAAGAGGAAGGCCCGGGCAGUGCCUGACACUCAGAUCUUGGAGUUGAACAAGCGCAUGUCAGCUGUGGAGCACCUGCUGGUCCACCUCGAGAAUGUAGUCCUGCCUCCUUCGGCCCAGGAACCAGCUGUGGAAUCACACUCCAGUGCAGACACAGAGGAGGAGGCUCUCAGGAAGAGGCUGGAGGAACUGACCAGCAACAUCAGUGAUCCCGGCACCUCAUCAGAAGAUGAGAUCAAGCCAGAUGGCACCCUCCAUGCGGUAUCCCCAGAGGUGUGCGCAGACACGGGACCCCUGGAGACACCGGGAAGGAGCCCUCAGGGCCCCGGGAACCCUACUCGGACUACAAAGAGCACAGAUGAGGAACUGUCGGAGAUGGAGGACAGAGUGGCCCUGACAGCCUCUGAAGUUCAGCAGUCUGAGAGCGAGGUCUCAGACAUCGAGUCCAGGAUUGCAGCCCUGAGGGCAGCAGGGCUCACUGUGAAACCCUCAGGAAAACCCCGGAGAAAGUCAAACAUCCCGAUCUUUCUUCCCCGGGUGGCUGAGAGACUUGACAGGAUCCCAAAGGAUCCAUCUGCAGACCCUGAGGACCAAGCCAACGUGCCCAAGGUGACAGCCGUGCCCUGUCUCCAGAGGAGGCAGUAUUCCCCCAGCGGUCAAGGCAUAGAUGGUGGUUCUUUUGAUCGGAAAUCAGUGUACCGUGGCUCUCUGACACAGAGGAACCCCAACGGGAGGAGAGGGACGGCCAGCCACAUCUUCGCGGUAAUGUCUCCUCUCUCCAUGUGACCUGUCAGCUUCACGUGUUGAUGCUGAGUCUUAGAUGAGAGCGAAAGAGAGGUGGGAGCUGGGAAACCCGUGAUGGCUCAGCAGCCCUAAAAGGGGACACACGGACACAGAAAAGUACCACAAAGCACCCCACACUGUUUCCUCCACAUGGCCAUCGCAUCCCCACGGGCUCUGUGCCUCUUGACGCUCACAGUUGCUUGUAAUCACCAUCCCAGUGAGAAAUAAGAAGAACUUCCUGUGCGGGUCCACUUGUGAGACAGCAAGUUCUCAGACUUCCGGCUGUUGCCAGGCCACUGACCACAGCCAGGGCGCCUGCCAGCCUCUGACCCAGGAGAUACUAGCUGACGUGAUUUUAUCCUCGGAUGAUGCUCUCUAUCAGGACACCCAGAUCCCCUUUUGCUGUGACCCUGUCUCUUGGCUUUGUUGAGCCACAUUCACAGACAGAAUGGAGGCCCUGAGCAUGUUCACGUUCCUAACUUGAGGGAGAGAGACAGACACAAGAGUGUCUGUGGGUAUGGUGGGAGAGUGCGCAGUUACAGACAGUGAAUGAGGAGGGCUAGAUUCCUCACCCACCCACACAGACCUUCUUCAAAUUUCCUUGUGGGUCACAGACAGGAGCCAUAACUCUGACCCCCACCCCAGAGUUUCCGCCGCCAUAACCACCAACUGCAGGACCACAUUGAGGCCAAGCCUCUAACACAGGCUUUUGGGGUGCACUACACAGGGACCUCACUUUCAAGACAUCUCAUGCUUUAAACUUAGGUUUGUAGCUCACACAAAUGACGGCUUUGGAAUUUGUCAAGAAUUUAGGUUCUCCAAACCAAGUGCAUCCGAACCAAUCUUGCUCGUGGUUGCAUAGUCUGCUCUUCACAGCCUUCCCGCCACUCUAGGGAGGCAGUCUCCAAUCCCAGGGCUGCCUCUUCCCAUCAGCUUGUGUCAUGUCCCAGGAGUCCAGAGAACACCCAGGCCAGAGCCACAAACAGCCUAGUGUACCCUGAGAAUGAACUUCAGGAAGGAACCUCACCCGUUCAGACAUCCACAUCUCAGGAGUCCCACGUUCAUGUCCCGUGUCCUUCUAGCAAAGUACUGCAAACUAAACCAAUCACACCCCCAGGAGAUGUGCCCUCCUGAGUUUCAGAGGACGAAAGUCCAAUUGAGGUGUCCGUGGGAUCUGCAGUCCUGAGGGGUAGGUGCCUCUUCCUCCUCCGGGGAUUGCCACCAUCCCAGUCCACCUUGACAUCAGUCCCCAUCCUCACCCUCAUGCCCCCUUGCCUUGUGUGGUUCUGAACAGCUGCCCUCUUGCCAGGACACCAUGUGUUGCGUGUAGGGCCACCUUUACCCAGUAUGCUUGCCUCAGUUUACCCAGUGUGCUCGCCUCAGCCAACACACUUCCAAAGGCCCUAUUUCCAUAGAUGACUGUCUCCUGCACUUCUAGGUGGCUGUGAACUGGGGAGACAACGUCUGACCCACUACAGAGCAUGAGAGCUCAAAGACCUCAAAGCUUUGCAGUGUACCCCCAAACUGUGGGGUCCUCAUCGCUGCUGAAAGCUAGAGGAAGACCAAGAGGUGGGCCUUGGCCAGGGCGUCCUGUUCAAAUGGGGCUCCCUUUACUGCAUGGAGCAGAAAUCCAUUUAAGUACGAGUGUGGGGAAAGACGCGGAGCUUUCUCCUGUAGCCCAGGGACACAAGCUGUCCAGCUUCGGGGAGUCAAGGGGGAGGCACACCCUCACAGCCUCUGCCUCUCCACAUGCCCCCCCUUCAUUUGGUCAACUGUCCAGAAUUCCAGCCGAUGGUCCAUAGUCACGGUCCCUCCAGCUACAACCCUGUGAUUGCUCCCCUGUGACAGCCACAGCUCACUAUCCCAGACCCCAGGGCAGCUACUUAGGGCCGUGUGCGGCCUCAGUGCCGGUCACCUCGAGCAGGCCUAUGCUGGAUGACGAAGCCCUCUGCUGUACCCAAAGCUGGUUCAACAGUCCUUGCUUGGUUCUCCUGUCCUGGGAUCCCCGGCCCAUUAAUAAGAUGAGGGAAAAGCUCCUUGAUCUCUGUGGUCAAACCCUCUGGGCAUCCCACUUCUCGGCUCUGAGGCACCCGGGCCAGGCCUGCAGCUGGGGUUCUGUGGAGUACUACAAGGGCAGCACAGGCCACACUUCCCUGCGCUUCGCCACCUGCCUCUGGAACACCACCAGCUGUCCGAAGUGUCCCUCAGUUCCGCAGAUCCUUUGCCUGGUGCCAUCAAGUAUGGGGUGAGGAGGAGACUGGAGACUGGGCUGAGACCAAGGUCCUUGUGCUGGCUCCCACCCCGCCUGCUGGCUCCCGUUAGGACCCUCAGAGGGACACUAUGUCCACACUACACUUUGAUAAAGCUACCCUGCUAAAAGGACCCAUAAUCCCAGACACACACACACACACACACACACACACACACAGACACACACACACAGACCCACAGUGAUGUUCAGGACACUCACUCCCACUCCCAAGGUCUCACAGCAGUCCCCUUGGUCCCUAUGACUGAGUGCACAUCCGGGGAAAUCUCCCACAAGACCCACCCCCAAGACAGGUGCAUGCCCCACCAUGGCUGUUCUCACCACGGUGGGAGGCUGGGCUAACAUCAAUGCUAAUGCCUGAGCUAUCUAUCCACAGAUGGAACCAAGGCACCAAGCAAAUGUUUAAAGCUCCUCAUGACCCUAAUCCUAGAGUUCCUUACCAUGCCCACCUCCUACCACAUCUCCCAACGAGCCCUCUGCCAAGGAGAUGGCAGCCAUGCCUUGAGAACACGGAUGUUGCAUUGACCAAGUCCCCAAAGGGUGAAGUGGCAGCCUGAAGCUUUCCCUACACAUCUGGAGGAGGCCAGGAAAUGAUGAUCCCAGGGAGUCCACCUGCUUUGUCUGUUCUCAUGCAUAGCUCCUUCAAGAAUGUUCUAUUGCACUUAAAUGAUAUUUCGUGUAAUCUGUAACUAUUGACAAGGUGGUGACAGGUCCAAGUUAAAUGACAGAAUAUUACAUAGUCAUUUUCAACAGCAUAGAUCUGCAGGCACGUCAACAACUCCAGGCUGUGGUGGUAAGAAGAACGGGGCUCAGCACCUAUAAACAGGAUGAGUCUACCCAGCAGGUGCAGGGAACUCACCAGAAGGCACACCCGGAGUGAAAACCUGGCCUUUGCACAUUAUCUGGCCUCUUUUCUCUAUUUUUAAACGCACUAAUUUUUUUUCUCAUCGCUUGUAAAUUGCUUUUACAGCAAAAUAAACUUGCUUUUUAGAAGUUUUGUUUUGUAUGUGUGAGGUAUGGGGUAUGUCCACAUUUAUGUGGGGACCCUGUGUACAUGUGCGUAGACACCAGAGAUCAAUGCCGGGUAUCUUCCUCAAUCAUUUCUCCACGUUCUUCUUUUGAACCCGGAGGUCAUCAAUGUGGCUAAGUUGACUGGCCAAUGAGCUUUGAGGCUCUUCUGUCUCUGCUCUGUCUGCCUCAGCACUAGGAUUAUAGCUCGAACACUGCCGAGUACCACCUUUAAACUUUCUUUAUAAUAAAAGGAGCUCUCUGUUUUCAA